rnacentral:snoRNA from 1 species
ACCUUCCAAUUCCCUUCCUCAUCACUGGUAUGAGUGGUUGAAAAAGAAGAAAAGUAACUGAAACUGACUUCAAUUCUUUUAUAGCACAUGGGCUAGUUUCAAAAGGGU